rnacentral:pre_miRNA from 1 species
AUUGUACUUCCUCCAUUCGAAAUUACUUGUCGCGAAAAUGAAUGUAUCUAGACGUGUUUUAAUUUUAAAUACAUUUAUUUUCGAGACAAGUAAUUUUGAACGUAGGGAGUAUCUC